rnacentral:rRNA from 1 species
AUUGAACGCUAGCGGGAUGCUUUACACAUGCAAGUCGAACGGAGUGGCGGACGGGUGAGUAAUAUCUAGGCACGUGCCCAGUAUAGGGGGAUAACUAAUCGCAAGAGUGGCCAAUAUCGUAUACUAUUGGUGCCGCCCAGAUCGGAUGGUCUAGUCGGUGGAGUAAAGGCUCACCAAGGCAACGAUCCGUAGCUGGUUUGGGAGGACGACCGGCCACACUGAGACUGAGAGACGGCCCAGAUUCCUACGGGAGGCAGCAGUGGGGAAUUUUGGACAAUGGGGGAAACCCUGAUCCAGCCAUCCCGCGUGUAUGAUGAAGGCCUUCGGGUUGUAAAGUACUUUUGGCAGGGAAGCGGUAACUGCAGAAUAAGCACCGGCUAACUACGUGCCAGCAGCCGCGGUAAUUC